UCUGACACGGCGAGACCGCGGACGGCUCAUUAAAUCAGUCGUGGUCCAUAUGGGCCAGUGUUGAUCCUACUUGGACAACUGUGGUAAUUCCAGAGCUAAUACAUGCAACUCUUAUCCUGAAGGAGCGUCAUGCUCUCUGACGGAUGCUUUUAUUAGACCAAACCGCUGGGUGCGUGGUGCUUCACUUCGGUGUUCCCACGUUUGACUCGUGUGAUGGUGACUCUGAAUAACAUUUUUCUUGACAAGCGCAAGUACCCCUCUUAUGAGUUGGGACGGCGCUACCACUUUCGAGUGUCUGACUUAUCAGCUAUCAACCGUUCGUUAUGUGCGACCGAUGGCUUUGACGGGUAACGGGGAAUCAGAGUUCGAUUCCGGAGAGGCAGCCUGAGAGACGGCUACCACGUCCAAGGACGGCAGCAGGCACGCAAAUUACCCAAUCCCAGCACCUGGGGGAGGUAGUGACGAAAUCUAACGAUGCGGGCGCCCUUUCUGGGGCCCCGCAAUCGGAAUGGCCACUUUCUAAAAAACCUGUUGAGAACCUACUGAAGGGCAAGUCUGGUGCCAGCAGCCGCGGUAAUUCCAGCUUCAGUAGCAUCUAUUAAAGUUGCUGCGGUUAAAAGGCUCGCAGUUGAAUGUCAGUACCGAGCGCAGGUCAGGUGGACGCUGGGGCGUGGGAAUACAAGGCGUGCGUUUCGUGUUUCUUUCUCUCGCGCGCGUGCGCUUCAUACAUUGAGUGCGUGUUCGCGCGUUACGAGAUUGUGUUGUCGUGUGUGUGUGGGGGGGAGAGGGCGUUCGUGUGUCUCUCACAAGCCCCCGUCCGUGACAAGCCUCCUCGCUUGUGUACAUAUCUGGAAUCGUUUCAUAUAAUGGAGUGAUGUGUAUCGCGCGCGCGUUAGCGGGUUUGCGUAUCGUGGUGCGCGUGUUUAGUGCCGGCCCUGUGCUUGUACGGCGCGUGUGUUGCGUGCGUUUCUCGCGCGUGCGUUGCGGCAUGUCGUAAGCUCCUUCGGUUUUACAGUCACCUUGAGUAAAUCAGAGUGCUCAAAGCAGUCGUGAGGGCCUUGUGCCCUGUGAACAGUCUUGACGGACUGACUUGGUUUUGCAUGGCAUGUCGGAAGACGACGUCGUGUGCUGGCUCAGAGAUGUAAUCAGUGGUACAAGCCAGCCUCGACGUACUGAUUAAAAGGUUCGGUCGAGGGCAUUGGUAUUGCGGGGCGAGAGGUGAAAUUCUAUGACCCCCGCAAGACCUCCUGAAGCGAAAGCGUCUGCCAAGGACGUUCUCACUAAUCAUGAACGAAAGUUAGAGGAUCGAAGGCGAUCAGAUACCGCCCUAGUUCUAACCGUAAACGAUGCCAACCAUCAAUCCGCGCGUAGCACCCUUCUUAACGGGCUCGGCGGGCAGCUCCCCACUCACGGGAAACCAGAGUCUCUGGGUUCCGGGGGGAGUCUGGUUGCAAAGCUGAAACUUAAAGGAAUUGACGGAAAGGCACCACCAGGCGUGGAGCCUGCGGCUUAAUUUGACUCAACACGGGCCAUCUCACCAGGCCAGCACUCUUGAAUGAUUGACAGAUUGAGAGCUCUUUCUCGAUUCAGUGGAUGGUGGUGCAUGGCCGUUCUUAGUUGGUGGAGUGAUCUGUCUGGUUAAUUCCGAUAACGAACGAGACUCUCCCCUGCUAACUAGUCGGUUGGAUCUUGUGUUAUGCGAGUUGUGUGCCGGGAACACCCGAUGUUGGAUGCGCGCUGUUGUUGGGGCGGCGGCGGAGGUGUUUGUGUCGUGUGGUGGUUAGUUAACGCUGCCGCUGCCUUUGCAUCAUCUCUUCGUUUAGCUCCUCACUCGUGCUCCUUCGUUCGGGCCCCGGGCCACACACUCCAAGUCCGCCGCUUAUGCUAUAACUCUUCUUAGAGGGAUUCACGGUACUGAAGCCGUAAGAGACUGAGAGCAAUAACAGGUCUGUGAUGCCCUUAGAUGCUCUGGGCCGCACGCGCGCUACAAUGCCGGGCACAGCAGGUAGUUCUCCUGCUCCGACAGGAGCGGGUAACCCUCUGAAAGCCCUUUGUUUAUUUUGUCGUGUCUCGCUCGUGGGCUACUGCGCUGUGGGGGCGUGCUGCUUUACGGUGGUGCGUUCGUACGGUGUGUGUUCGCGUUGUGAGAUGCGAACGGCGUGAUGGGGCCUGGGACUUGCAAUUUUUUCCCACAAACGAGGAAUGCCUAGUAGCGGCGGGUCACUGAGCCCACCGUGACUCAGUCCCUGCCCUUUGUACACACCGCCCGUCGCUACUACCGAUUGGGUGUACCAGUGAGAGCCUUGGACUGGCGUCCG
rnacentral:rRNA from 1 species